UACGUAGGGUGCAAGCGUUGUCCGGAAUUAUUGGGCGUAAAGAGCUCGUAGGCGGUCUGUCGCGUCGGAUGUGAAAAUCCAGGGCUCAACCCUGGACCUGCAUUCGAUACGGGCAGACUAGAGUUCGGCAGGGGAGACUGGAAUUCCUGGUGUAGCGGUGAAAUGCGCAGAUAUCAGGAGGAACACCGGUGGCGAGGGCGGGUCUCUGGGCCGAUACUGACGCUGAGGAGCGAAAGCGUGGGGAGCAAACAGG
rnacentral:rRNA from 1 species